rnacentral:lncRNA from 1 species
CUAGUUAAUGAGUAGAAGGUCGUUACACCUUGGUGUUUUAGGUGUCAAAACCUAGAAACACAAGUGAGCAAUUGGGAUCUUAUUCCCACAUAGCUUAAGUUGUUGCAAACCUUAAGGUGUGAAAGUAACAAACAUCUAAUGGUGAUCUAUAUAGACUUCAAGUAGAACAACACUUCGAGUGAUUGGGGUUUGCUUACACUGUUAAGCCUAGUGCUAGCUAGGAUGAGGCACCCAGUGCUCUUCACUUCCUAACUGAAUCAAGAAGCAACCAACAAGGGAGAGGCGGACGAUAAGGCGUUGUUUCCAAGGAAAGAAAGCCAAGUCAAUAGACAGGGUUAAGGGAUAACUAGUUUGCUGAUUUCAAGGGCUAAGGUGCUUUGUC